UUAUACAAACAUGUAUAACGUAAUAUAUAUUUUUCUAAAUCUUAGCAGUAAAUUAUGGAUUGAGCUUGAUUAACAAAAAACCCGUUAUUAUAAAUUUUGUAACUAUUUUAAAACACUUGAUUGAAUAGUGUUAUGAAUGUAACAUUGUAAACUCAGUUUAAUUUCAAUUGAAUGUAAAUUAAUUAGUUUUGAUUGAUUGAUGCAUAACAAAAUGUUUUAACUUUUAUUUUACGAAUUCAAUUGUAUCUAAACACAGUGUUUAUGAUGUAACUAUGUAUUCUAGCAUUGUUUGUUUAAAAAAAUAGACUCGUCGAGUUUCUUACGCCGGUUCUUCUCGGUGGGUGGGUCAGCGAACCGGUGGCAGGGACUUUAUAUUGACCAAAAACAAUAAAUAAUCAUAUUCGUCAAAAUUUUGUUUUUAUUUGUUUUAUAGUGUCGGAUUUUUAUGUUUCAAAGACUUUGUUUUUGUGAAAAUUGUGUAUUGUUAUGUGAACUAAACUUAACAAACUCAGUUUUUACAAAUUCAAGGUAAUUGAAACAUAAAAAUCUGACAAGGAUAUCCUAUCCCCAUAAUAUCCUAAUACACACAUGCAAACAUAAACGCACACAUACACACCUGUAGAGUUUUAUCGCCCCUAUUUAAGAUGGCGCUAGCUGUCGCAUCAAAUGUCAAUUCGUGAGCCGUCAAACUCUUCUAAGACGCUUAUCUGUCUACAAAUAUAUACUAGUAAUCUGUGGGCUAUUAUAAUAAAAACACAUUUCU